rnacentral:rRNA from 1 species
AGCGAACGCUGGCGGCAGGCUUAACACAUGCAAGUCGAGCGGGCGUAGCAAUACGUCAGCGGCAGACGGGUGAGUAACGCGUGGGAACGUACCUUUUGGUUCGGAACAACACAGGGAAACUUGUGCUAAUACCGGAUAAGCCCUUACGGGGAAAGAUUUAUCGCCGAAAGAUCGGCCCGCGUCUGAUUAGCUAGUUGGUGAGGUAACGGCUCACCAAGGCGACGAUCAGUAGCUGGUCUGAGAGGAUGAUCAGCCACAUUGGGACUGAGACACGGCCCAAACUCCUACGGGAGGCAGCAGUGGGGAAUAUUGGACAAUGGGGGCAACCCUGAUCCAGCCAUGCCGCGUGAGUGAUGAAGGCCCUAGGGUUGUAAAGCUCUUUUGUGCGGGAAGAUAAUGACGGUACCGAAAGAAUAAGCCCCGGCUAACUUCGUG